rnacentral:rRNA from 1 species
CCUACGGGAGGCAGCAGUGAGGAAUAUUGGUCAAUGGACGAGAGUCUGAACCAGCCAAGUAGCGUGAAGGAUGACUGCCCUAUGGGUUGUAAACUUCUUUUAUAAAGGAAUAAAACGAGGCACGUGUGCCUUUUUGCAUGUACUUUAUGAAUAAGGAUCGGCUAACUACGUGCCAGCAGCCGCGGUAAUACGGAGGAUCCGAGCGUUAUCCGGAUUUCUUGGGUUUAAAGGGAGCGUAGAUGGGUUGUUAAGUCAGUUGUGAAAGUUUGCGGCUCAACCGUAAAAUUGCAAUUGAUACUGGCAGUCUUGAGUACAUUUGAGGUAGGCGGAAUUCGUGGUGUAGCGGUGAAAUGCUUAGAUAUCACGAAGAACCCCGAUUGCGAAGGCAGCUUACUAAACUGUGACUGACAUUGAUGCUCGAAAGUGUGGGUAUCAAACAGGAUUAGAGACCCGGGUAGUC